GUUUACCAAAAACAUGGCUUCUUGUAAGACUUAAUAAAUGAGGAGUCGGACCUGCCCGGUGAAAUUUUUCAACGGCCGCGGUACUCUGACCGUGCAAAGGUAGCAUAAUCAUUUGCCUUAUAAUUGAAGGCUGGUAUGAAUGGUUUGACAAGAAUAAAGCUGUCUCUUUAUAAUUUGGUAGAAUUUUAUUUUUAGGUGAAAAAGCCUUAAUUUGAUUAAUAGACAAGAAGACCCUAUCGAGCUUUAGAUAAUCUGGUGGAUUGAGCAAAGGAACUUUAUCUUGGCUGAAAGAGUAAACUGCCGGAUACUUUGGUUGGGGCGACUGAGGAACAUAUAAAGCUUCCUUUAAGUGUAUUUAACGUACGAGUAUUGAUCCAAAAAUGUUGAUUAAAGGAAUUAGUUACCGUAGGGAUAACAGCAUUAUCUUUUUUGAGAGCUCUAAUCGAAAAAAAGGUUUGUGACCUCGAUGUUGGACCAGAAUGUCCUAAAGAUGCAGAAGUCUUUAAGGGUUGGUCUGUUCGACCAUUAAAAUUCUACGUGAUCUGAGUUCAGACCGG
rnacentral:rRNA from 1 species